rnacentral:sRNA from 1 species
GGGAGCACAAAGAGGAGUGCAGGGCCACCAAGUGGGUCUUGGAUCUGCCCUCCAGGUGUGGGCCCAUCGCUGGAUGGAUCUGUCAGAACACGGCUUCGGGCUGGCCCUGCUCAACGACUGCAAGUAUGGCGCGUCAGUGCGAGGCAGCAUCCUCAGCCUCUCGCUGUAAGUGGGGUACCCACCUGGGAGCUGGCAUGGGGAAAUGGGUCUUCCCGACCACAACUCCACCAGCUUCAGCCUGGCGCCUACCCGCCCUCCUAACCGCAGCUUGCGGGCGCCUAAAGCCCCGGACGCUACUGCUGACACGGGGCGCCACGAGUUCACCUACGCGCUGAUGCCGCACGAGGGCUCUUUCCAGGAUGCUGGCGUUAUCCAAGCUGCCUACAGCCUAAACUUCCCCCUGUUGGCUCUGCCAGCCCCCAGCCCAGCGCCCGCCACCUCCUGGAGUGCCUUUUCCGUGUCUUCACCCGCGGUCUUAUUGGAGACCGUCAAGCAGGCAAGGGCAGCCCCCAGCGCCGCUCGCUGGUCCUGAGGCUGUAUGAGGCCCACGGCAGCCACGUGGACUGCUGGCUGCACUUGUCGCUGCCGGUUCAGGAGGCCAUCCUGUGAGUGGCUGUGCGGGAUGGGGGCGGGGGUCGAGUCUCGCCCUCGCAGAGCCUUCACGGCCCCUCCUGUUCUCCAGCUGCGAUCUCUUGGAGCGACCAGACCCUGCUGGCCACUUGACCCUUCGGGACAGCCGCCUGAAGCUCACCUUUUCUCCCUUCCAAGUGCUGUCCCUGUUGCUCGUGCUUCAGCCUCCACCACACUGAGUCCCUGGGGCUGGUGUUUUGUUUGUGGAAGGCUCUGGGGACUCCUAAUUUCUGCUUCCUCAGCCUAAAGCAGGGAUCAGUCUCUUCUUGUGGAAUAAAUCCUUGGAUCAGGAA